ensembl:snRNA U6 U6 spliceosomal RNA
GAGCUUUCUUUGGCAGCAUGUAUGCUAAAAUCAGAAAGAUACAGAGAAGAUUAGCAUGGCCCCUGUGCAAGGAUGACAUGCAAAUUUGUGAAGUGUUCCAUAUUUUU